rnacentral:rRNA from 1 species
CGGACGGGUGAGUAACGCGUGGAUAACCUGCCUCACACAGGGGGAUAGCAGUUAGAAAUGACUGCUAAUACCGCAUAAGCGCACAGUCUCGCAUGGGACAGUGUGAAAAACUGAGGUGGUGUGAGAUGGAUCCGCGUCUGAUUAGGCAGUUGGCGGGGCAACGGCCCACCAAACCAACGAUCAGUAGCCGGCCUGAGAGGGUGAACGGCCACAUUGGGACUGAGACACGGCCCAAACUCCUACGGGAGGCAGCAGUGGGGAAUAUUGCACAAUGGGGGAAACCCUGAUGCAGCGACGCCGCGUGAAGGAAGAAGUAUCUCGGUAUGUAAACUUCUAUCAGCAGGGAAGAAAGUGACGGUACCUGACUAAGAAGCCCCGGCUAACUACGUGCCAGCAGCCGCGGUAAUACGUAGGGGGCAAGCGUUAUCCGGAUUUACUGGGUGUAAAGGGAGCGUAAGCGGCGAUGCAAGUCAGAAGUGAAAGCCCGGGGCUCAACUCCGGGACUGCUUUUGAAACUGUAUGGCUAGAUUGCAGGAGAGGCAAGUGGAAUUCCUAGUGUAGCGGUGAAAUGCGUAGAUAUUAGGAGGAACACCAGUGGCGAAGGCGGCUUGCUGGACUGUAAAUGACGCUGAGGCUCGAAAGCGUGGGGAGCAAACAGGAUUAGAUACCCUGGUAGUCCACGCCGUACACGAUGAAUACUAGGUGUCAGGGAGCAAA